rnacentral:rRNA from 1 species
UACGAAGGAGGCUAGCGUUGUUCGGAAUCACUGGGCGUAAAGGGCGCGUAGGCGGCCGAUCAAGUCGGGGGUGAAAGCCUGUGGCUCAACCACAGAAUUGCCUUCGAUACUGUUUGGCUUGAGACCGGAAGAGGUAAGUGGAACUGCGAGUGUAGAGGUGAAAUUCGUAGAUAUUCGCAAGAACACCAGUGGCGAAGGCGGCUUACUGGUCCGGUUCUGACGCUGAGGCGCGAAAGCGUGGGGAGCAAACAGG